rnacentral:rRNA from 1 species
CCAAGCUGUGUUCACACGGCGAGACCGCGGACGGCUCAUUAAAUCAGUCGUGGUCCAAAUGGGCCAGUGCAAAUCCUACUUGGAUAACUGUGGUAAUUCCAGAGCUAAUACAUGCAACUGAUAUCCCGAAGGCGGUGUAGGUGCUUGCUUGUCUUGCGCUUGCACUGCUCUGACGGAUGCUUUUAUUAGACCAAGCCGCUGAGGACUUGAGGGUUCGCGCUCUCUUGUUUGACUCGUGUGAUGGUGACUCUGGAUAACCAAAUUCUGACAAGCGUACGUACUUCUCUUCUGAGCGAGACGACGCUGCCACUUUCGAGUGUCUGCCUUAUCAGCUAUCAACCGUUCGUUAUGCGCGACCGAUGGCUUUGACGGGUAACGGGGAAUCAGGGUUCGAUUCCGGAGAGGCAGCCUGAGAGACGGCUACCACGUCCAAGGACGGCAGCAGGCACGCAAAUUACCCAAUCCCAGCAAAUGGGGGAGGUAGUGACGAAAUCUAACGAUGCGGGCGCCCUUUCUGGGGCCCCGCAAUCGGAAUGGGCACUUUCUAAACAACCUGUUGAGAACCUACUGAAGGGCAAGUCUGGUGCCAGCAGCCGCGGUAAUUCCAGCUUCAGCAGCAUCUAUUAAAGUUGCUGCRGUUAAAARGCUCGYAGUUG